GACGAACGCUGGCGGCGUGCUUAACACAUGCAAGUCGAACGAUGAACCCGGAGCUUGCCCCGGUGGACUAGUCGCGAACGGGUGAGUAACACGGGAGUAACCUGCCAUUGACUCUGGGAUAACUGCGGGAAACUGUAGCUAAUACCGGCUACGACCCGCGGCGGCACCGCCAGUGGGUGGAAAGAAUUUCGGUCAAGGAUGGACUCGCGGCCUCUCAGCUAGCUGGUGGGGUAACGGCUCACCAAGGCGACGACGGGUAGCGGGCCUGAGAGGGUGACCGGCCUCACUGGGGCUGAGACACGGCCCGGUCUCCUACGGGAGGCAGCAGUGGGGAAUAUUGCACAAUGGGCGCAAGACUGAUACAGCAACGCCGCGUGAGGGAUGACGUCGUUCGGGUUGUAAACCUCUUUUAGUAGGGAAGAAGCGAAAGUGACGGUACCUGCAGAAAAAGCACCGGCUAACUACGUGCCAGCCGCCGCAGUAA
rnacentral:rRNA from 1 species